rnacentral:rRNA from 1 species
UACGAAGGGGACUAGCGUUGUUCGGAUUUACUGGGCGUAAAGCGCGCGUAGGCGGAUCGCUAAGUCAGGGGUGAAAUCCCAGGGCUCAACCCUGGAACUGCCUUUGAUACUGACGAUCUGGAGAUCGGGAGAGGUUGGUGGAAUUCCGAGUGUAGAGGUGAAAUUCGUAGAUACUGGGAGGAACACCGGUGGCGAAGGCGGCUACCUGGACCGGAACUGACGCUGAGGCGCGAAAGCGUGGGUAGCAAACAGG